GUAGGGAAUAUUGGGCAAUGGGUGCAAGCCUGACCCAGCCAUCCCGCGUGCCGGAUGAAGGCCCUCUGGGUCGUAAACGGCUUUUGACGGUGAAGAACCGAAAGGGUGCGCCCUUUUUUGACGGUAGCCGUUGAAUAAGCACCGGCUAACUCCGUGCCAGCAGCCGCGGUAAUACGGAGGGUGCGAGCGUUGUCCGGAUUUAUUGGGUUUAAAGGGUGCGUAGGCGGGAGGGACAGUCGGCGGUGAAAAGCAGUUGCUCAACAAUUGUCGUGCCGCAGAUACUACCGUACUUGGAUGAGGAGGAGGUUAGCGGAACGGAUGGUGUAGCGGUGAAAUGCAUAGAUAUCAUCCAGAACGCCAAUUGCGAAGGCAGGUAACUGUACCUAUAUCGACGCUGAUGCACGAAAGCAUGGGUAGCGAACAGGAUUAGAAACCCGGGUAGUCC
rnacentral:rRNA from 1 species